rnacentral:rRNA from 1 species
AGGACGAACGCUGGCGGCGUGCCUAACACAUGCAAGUCGAGCGGAGUUAACAAGAGGAAGUUUCGGAUGGAAUUUGUAAUUAGCGGCGGACGGGUGAGUAACGCGUGAGCGACCAACCUUGCACAGGGGGAUAACGGACCGAAAGGUUCACUAAUACCGCAUGAGACCACGGUGUUGCAUGACACAGAGGUCAAAGGAGCAAUCCGGUGCAAGACGGGCUCGCGUCCGAUUAGGUAGUUGGUGGGGUAAUGGCCCACCAAGCCUAUGAUCGGUAGCCGACCUGAGAGGGUGAUCGGCCACAUUGGAACUGAGAUACGGUCCAAACUCCUACGGGAGGCAGCAGUGGGGAAUAUUGGGCAAUGGGGGAAACCCUGACCCAGCAACGCCGCGUGAAGGAAGAAGGUUUUCGGAUUGUAAACUUCUGUCCUUGGUGAAGAGAAGAAGACGGUAGCCAAGGAGGAAGCCCCGGCUAACUACGUGCCAGCAGCUGC